UAAGCUCCAGCACAGCCGUGACAAUCAUGUUGAGAAGGAGAUUAGAAACUGGAUGGAUGGCUGGAUGUUUGUAUGUCUGAAACCAAAUUGUUAUAUGGCUUUUAUAUAGUUUUUUUUUUUCUAUUUGCAUGGCGGGCCGCAGAUGGCCCACAGGCCAUAGAUUUCCAAGCUUCAAGAUCCAGGAAGACAAGGGGCUGUUUUUGUGUUGGAAUGCAGAGACUUGUCCAUACCUGCAGCAAGACCAGGAUGGGAUUUAAAACACACAUAAAUACGGAGAGGGAAAGAGAGAGAGUGAGGCAGCUGCUGGACGCCAAGGCACAGCUCAAGCUAACAGCAGGCCCUGAGGCUCCAGCUCCAGCUGAACUCUGUGCUUCUGGUUGUCCAGGAACUCUUCCAGCUUCAGCUCCACAGUGAAUGUCUGGUCCCACGCCUGCUCCCCGACAGUUUUCCAUGCUGUCUGGCCCACCACUGUGUUAUCCAGCUUGAGCACGGCGCUCACCUCAGCUGCACGUAGACAUACAGCGUAUUUAGUAUGCAGGUGACAUCCCUACACAAAAAGCUGACAAGGCCAAGCAUUAGCACAUUUUAUAUAUUCAGCGUUUUUUUGGUCACUUGGUUUAUGCUAUUGAGUUUAAGAUUCCCCAAAACCUGGCAGACUCGAAAAACUUAAAUGUCAAUCUGUUGGAUAUAUUGCUCCUCUUUUUUUGGCAAAGAUGUGAAAGAUUAAAACCCAUUUUAAAAUAUUGCGGAGAUAUUUAAAAGCAUGUUUGGUAGUUAUUCGAGUGUAUGUGUAGAAUAAUGAAAGAUGAAUGAUGAAAGUGGCCGUGGAAAGAAAAGGUGUUGAGUAACUUCUGAUGUGAGAACACCGACAGCCCAAUGUGAGGAUUUCCUGUCUCGCAAUCAUAGACCCAAUAUUAAAAUUGCCCAGAUGCAACAUCUGAUGUUAGCAAACGUAAUGCAUUUUGACUUGCUUCAGUGGCAAUGUGCAGGGAUAGCAAAAGAACAUGCUUGGGCAAAAAAAAGAAAAACUCAUGUUUUUCCAGUUGUUCGUAUUACAGAGGUACCAGGACAACUGCUACAAAAAAUGUGGUGGGUUUGGGUGCUGGAACAGAUGAAUGGAAUUUCAAAUCAUUUCAGUAGGAAAUACUGAUCUACAAAUACAUUUUGUGGUGAGUCUUGGAGCCAAUUAAACUGUUCUGUCAAGAACUAUUGUACAAUGGAAUGCCGGGACAUGUUUCGUGAGAUACUACCCUUUGUGGUGAUGUAGGAAAUUAUCCAAUUUCAUUUAAUUUGUCAAAAGUUGAUGAUGUAUGAAUUGCAAACAUGUCUUUGUACAUCUAGCUAUGCCAGCAAUGUAAGAUUACAGGCAGAACAAUUAAAUGCUCUUCCAUUAGAUGGGAGAAGGUGGAAGGCGCAAUAAGGCGCAAUGCCUAAGUGGUCUUUAAAAAAAAAAAAAAAAGUGUUCAUUCA